UUGGACUAUCGUGGGAUCAACCAUCACCCAUCACUUCACCACUGCGACACCGCUUAAUUUCGAAUGUCAUCACCGCACACACCUGGUACCUGGACGCUGCUGAUUCGAUAACUGCCGCCGCCGAACGCAAUGUCGUCGUCCCUCCACUCCUGUAUCAAGUCGCCGGAAAGCUCCAAUAGCUGAAAGAUGCGGCAGAAUUCAGAAAACCUGUUAUCAGAGACGGACCUACCAGCCACUCCUCCCCCCCCCCUAGCCUUCCCACGAGGCUCCCCGAGAUGUGCAUGAGCGGAGAGGGAGAUUUAGCCGGGCCUCUCUCUUGAAGAAGCCUCGCCUCGCUUCGCAUCACGUCCCAGAUUGACACCACCCGGCAAGGCGCAGGACCAGGCCAGGAGAUCCCGGGGCUGGGUGCGGAUGGCGGCCUUUGUGUACUCCCUCAGGAUGCCGGGCAGAGGCGCCGGCACCCUCGUGUCCACCACUCCCUCCGCCACCACCACCAUCUUGGACUAUAACAAAGAGGCUGUGUGUGGGCUCUUGUGAUACCGUGAAUUUUCCCACGAGGCCUGGGUGGCGCGGGUGCUGUCCUGGCAGCACGUUGCUGGAUGUUACGGAGGUCAUCACCACCAACACCUCUCCGCCACACAACACGACCCUGCACCGCUGCACUCAUACAUUAGGUGUGGCCGUUACAUGGGCCUGACUCAGCAGUCCCAAGUCACUUGUAACAUAAAGACCGACGUCACAACAUCACUGUACACUACCAGCAUCUUUGCACACUACCGAACUUCUGAGAGCUAUAUCGGUUCCAUCCCAGUUAACUCCUCAGCCACAGCGGUGCUCAAGUCCGACCUUUACCCGCCGAAGCGUCUGAAGUCCCGGCAUCCUGUUGCUCCUCAGCUGUGUGUGAUAGCAGUCCAUCUCAGGUCUGCCUCUUCAGAAGAGGACACAGACUGAGGCGUGCGGUCCGACACGUGUAGGGGCUGUGCGGUUUCAAGUCGUUCAUUGGAGGCGUAGGUCAUCAGGAAUUGUUCGGUCUUGGUGUUAAAGGUUCUGCUACUACUGGAGGGAGAACCAAACCAGCGUGUCCAAACAACCCCCGACUUGGAGCCAGGAUACUGGCUUUUCUUGCGCCGGAAGACGGUCUCGCUGCACCUUCCCGGAAAACUGAACCCUACCUCGAACCAGCUCUCCUAGGGAGAGGGGGGACACACUGGCUCGCUCUACCUUCCAUGGAGGAAUUGGUUCCUACCUCGCACCAGGUCAUCCAGGCAGGGAGGACACUGCCUCGCUCCACCUUCCCCAGAGGAACUGAACCCUGCCUCGAACCAGCUCCUCCAGGGAGGGUGGGGCGGACACUGGCUCGCUACACCUUCCACGGAGGAAUUGGACCCUACCUCGCACCAUCUCCAGGAAGGGAGGACACUGCCUCGCUCCACCUUCCCCAGAGGAACUGAACCCUACCUUGAACCAGCUCCUCCAGGAA
rnacentral:misc_RNA from 1 species